AUUGGUUGAAGACGCCGAUUGAUCUUGAUAUUUCUUCCUUGGGACCAGAAGAGGAAGUUAGUUCAGAAUUUUUGGACUCUCUCUCUAAAUCCAUGUUCGUAAACAUAACAGAUGAUGAUGUUGAGGACUAAGGAGUACCAAGUCAGCAACCCUGGAAAGUCUGAAGCUAUCAGUUGAUUUUGUGGAUGCAUAGCUGGAAAGUGUCGAUGUUGUUUAGAUGUUAUGGAGACUGUGGAUGUUUAGGUAGUUAGGUGGCAC